rnacentral:rRNA from 1 species
AGUUUAGCUAAUGUUGCCCGUACCGUAAACCGACACAGGUGGGUGGGAUGAGUAUUCUAAGGCGCGUGGAAGAACUCUCUUUAAGGAACUCUGCAAAAUAGCACCGUAUCUUCGGUAUAAGGUGUGGUUCGCUUCGUAUUAGGAUUUACUCCGAAAGCGAAGAAACUUACAACAAAGAGUCCCUCCCGACUGUUUACCAAAAACACAGCACUCUGCUAACUCGUAAGAGGAUGUAUAGGGUGUGACGCCUGCCCGGUGCUCGAAGGUUAAUUGAUGGGGUUAGCAUUAGCGAAGCUCUUGAUCGAAGCCCGAGUAAACGGCGGCCGUAACUAUAACGGUCCUAAGGUAGCGAAAUUCCUUGUCGGUUAAAUACCGACCUGCAUGAAUGGCGUAACGAGAUGGGAGCUGUCUCAAAGAGGGAUCCAGUGAAAUUGUAGUGGAGGUGAAAAUUCCUCCUACCCGCGGCAAGACGGAAAGACCCCGUGGACCUUUACUACAGCUUGACACUGCUAUUUGGAUAAGAAUGUGCAGGAUAGGUGGGAGGCUUUGAGUAUAUGACGCCAGUUGUAUAUGAGCCAUUGUUGAGAUACCACUCUUUCUUAUUUGGGUAGCUAACCAGCUUGAGUUAUCCUCAAGUGGGACAAUGUCUGGUGGGUAGUUUGACUGGGGCGGUCGCCUCCCAAAUAAUAACGGAGGCUUACAAAGGUUGGCUCAGAACGGUUGGAAAUCGUUCGUAGAGUAUAAAGGUAUAAGCCAGCUUAACUGCAAGACAUACAAGUCAAGCAGAGACGAAAGUCGGUCUUAGUGAUCCGGUGGUUCUGCGUGGAAGGGCCAUCGCUCAAAGGAUAAAAGGUACCCCGGGGAUAACAGGCUGAUCUCCCCCAAGAGCUCACAUCGACGGGGAGGUUUGGCACCUCGAUGUCGGCUCAUCGCAUCCUGGGGCUGGAGCAGGUCCCAAGGGUAUGGCUGUUCGCCAUUUAAAGCGGUACGCGAGCUGGGUUCAGAACGUCGUGAGACAGUUCGGUCCCUAUCUGCCGUGGGCGUAAGAAGAUUGAAGAGAUUUGACCCUAGUACGAGAGGACCGGGUUGAACAAACCACUGGUGUAGCUGUUGUUCUGCCAAGAGCAUCGCAGCGUAGCUAAGUUUGGAAAGGAUAAACGCUGAAAGCAUCUAAGCGUGAAGCCAACUCUAAGAUGAAUCUUCUCUAAGCUCUCUAGAAGACUACUAGUUUGAUAGGCUGGGUGUGUAAUGGAUGAAAGUCCUUUAGCUGACCAGUACUAAUAGAGCGUUUGGCUUAUCUUUAAUAAAGCAU